rnacentral:rRNA from 1 species
AUUGAACGCUGGCGGCAGGCCUAACACAUGCAAGUCGAGCGGAUGAAGGGAGCUUGCUCCUGGAUUCAGCGGCGGACGGGUGAGUAAUGCAUAGGAAUCUGCCUGGUAGUGGGGGAUAACGUCCGGAAACGGGCGCUAAUACCGCAUACGUCCUGAGGGAGAAAGUGGGGGAUCUUCGGACCUCACGCUAUCAGAUGAGCCUAGGUCGGAUUAGCUAGUUGGUGGGGUAAAGGCCUACCAAGGCGACGAUCCGUAACUGGUCUGAGAGGAUGAUCAGUCACACUGGAACUGAGACACGGUCCAGACUCCUACGGGAGGCAGCAGUGGGGAAUAUUGGACAAUGGGCGAAAGCCUGAUGCAGCCAUGCCGCGUGUGUGAAGAAGGUCUUCGGAUUGUAAAGCACUGUAAGUUGGGAGGAAGAACAGUAAGUUAAUCCCUUGCUGUCUUGACGUUACCAACAGAAUAAGCACCGGCUAACUUCGUG